GUUGAACGCUGGCGGCAGGCCUAACACAUGCAAGUCGAACGGUAACAGGAAGAAGCUUGCUUCUUUGCUGACGAGUGGCGGACGGGUGAGUAAUGUCUGGGAAACUGCCUGAUGGAGGGGGAUAACUACUGGAAACGGUAGCUAAUACCGCAUAACGUCGCAAGACCAAAGAGGGGGACCUUCGCGCCGCUUGCCAUCGGAUGUGCCCAGAUGGGAUUAGCGAGUAGGUGGGGUAACGGCUCACCUAGGCGACGAUCCCUAGCUGGUCUGAGAGGAUGACCAGCCACACUGGAACUGAGACACGGUCCAGACUCCUACGGGAGGCAGCAGUGGGGAAUAUUGCACAAUGGGCGCAAGCCUGAUGCAGCCAUGCCGCGUGUAUGAAGAAGGCCUUCGGGUUGUAAAGUACUUUCAGCGGGGAGGAAGGGAGUAAAGUUAAUACCUUUGCUCAUUGACGUUACCCGCAGAAGAAGCACCGGCUAACUCCGUG
rnacentral:rRNA from 1 species